GAUGAACGCUGGCGGCGUGCCUAAUACAUGCAAGUCGAGCGAACAGACGAGGAGCUUGCUCCUCUGACGUUAGCGGCGGACGGGUGAGUAACACGUGGAUAACCUACCUAUAAGACUGGGAUAACUUCGGGAAACCGGAGCUAAUACCGGAUAAUAUAUUGAACCGCAUGGUUCAAUAGUGAAAGACGGUUUUGCUGUCACUUAUAGAUGGAUCCGCGCCGCAUUAGCUAGUUGGUAAGGUAACGGCUUACCAAGGCGACGAUGCGUAGCCGACCUGAGAGGGUGAUAGGCCACACUGGAACUGAGACACGGUCCAGACUCCUACGGGAGGCAGCAGUAGGGAAUCUUCCGCAAUGGGCGAAAGCCUGACGGAGCAACGCCGCGUGAGUGAUGAAGGUCUUCGGAUCGUAAAACUCUGUUAUUAGGGAAGAACAAAUGUGUAAGUAACUAUGCAAGUCUUGACGGUACCUAAUCAGAAAGCCACGGAUAACUACGUG
rnacentral:rRNA from 1 species